UGCAACGAGUGUUUCGUUUUCAAGGUUUUGGAAAAUCCGACCGCGUUUCGUAAUUUCCGGUAUAAUAGAAAUGAUAGUGUUUUUUCUUUUUUGUUUAAAUCAUUCGGCGAAGAACCAGUCGUUAUGUACAGCCUGACACGUUUGUUUCGAAAGAUUAAUGGAAAUGUGAAAAUUAUUUAUAAAUUAAAAAGAUUAGUUUGCUUCAUUUACUUCAAAAUUCAUUCGAGUAUUUAUACUUAGUUAGCGAAACUUUAAUUUUAGUAAAUGUUUUAUUUUGCAUAUCUUUUUGAAUGGGUGUUAAGUACAAAAAGACAAUGUUAUUUUUUUUUAAGUUUUGUUUAAGACUUUAUUAAGUAAUAACUCUGAAGUUAAGAAAUUAAUUAAAUUGUGAAAUUUUAACUACAAUUACUGAUUACACCUCUCUGUCUAUCGAUGAACAUAAUCUCGAUCAUUUUCCUACACGAAAGUGAAGUAAAAUUUCUGAUUCUAAACACAUGGUGCAAUACUAUACACAAAUUGAUAAGAGAAGUUCAAUAUCUCAUCUGUCGAAUGAAACUUUUAAUAAGUCAACAUAUUUAGGUAUACGUUAAUUAUUGAACAUCACACGAAUAAAUUACUGGUACAUUUAAAUAUCUGUCCCAUGAGAUCAUUUAAAUUUUUAUAUGUGUAUAAAAAAGAAGGUGAUAUUUCACUAAGAAUUCACUAUCAUAAGUAUGAAAAGUAAAGAUAUUAUGAGCAAUCUAAUAAUGAUACUACAUUACAUACUACAAUUUCUCACUUAGUAUUUGACAACUUUAGUGAUUUCAUUUAUGGUACCGACUUACUCGGACGAUAAUCCAUCACUUACUAAAUUUCACUGUUAAUGAGCCUGCUAUCAAGGUAGGUCAAAUGUGUAUAUACAUAUAUGUAUAUAUAUAUUUCUAGAAUGUAGUGACUUUCAUAAUUGUAUGUUUGAUUAUGAUUUACUUCAAUCUUGAUCCUCUAGUUAAUCAUUAUAUCUCAAGAUAGCUUCUCCAAUUCAAAAAUUCAAUUAUUGUAACGGUAUAUUAGUAAAUAUUUUCUAUCACUAUUUUUAAAAAAGGUAUCACUGGUUAGCAGUCAAGGAUUAAGACAAUACACUGCCUAAUAAUAGUUAAGAUAUUGACACCUUUGGAGGUGUAAUCAAUAGACUAAUCUAACAUUUGCACGAUUUCAAAAUUUUUGAAUUAUCUAGCUAAAUGAAAUUUCUUAAGACUCAGAGGAAGUAAAGUUACAAACUCGAUCUAUGUUUUUCCUUUUAGGGGCCAGAUAUCGUUACCCUUGUAUCGCCACGCAGUUGGUCAAGAAAACCGAAAUUUUAAUUCCCCUCCACUUCCCUAACUUUAAAUGAUGUUACACACAUGCACAUACACACGCGCUUAUCACAUUUCUGGAUAUUUAAAUUCCCCAUCGUUUAAUUCGCACGCAUUAUAAAUUUGUACAUAUAUAUACAUAUGCUUUGUAAUCACAACUUUUUCUACAAAUAAAUCGUUCUGCCGAUUUA